GGGCUCUUGGCGCAGCUGGUAGCGCGCCUGCUUUGCAUCUUCGUGACGCCUGCAUGAGGUCGUGGGUUCAAAUCCCGCAGAGUCCA